rnacentral:rRNA from 1 species
GUUUAUGGCCAUGCUACCCGGGUUCUGCCAGGCUUGGUUAGUACUUGGAUGGGAGACCACCUAGGAAUACCAGGUGCUGUAGGCA